AUGAAACAAAUCAGCUCCAGCUCUCCCUCUGAAAUGAGCUUCCACGUGGUACUGGGGAAGAAAUCAGGACAUUUUGAGAACUUCUAUUUCUCCUAUGGGGCCAACUACAGAAGAGUUGAGAAACUCAGCAGUGAUUCCCUUGGACACUUCUUUGCAAAGCUAAAUCACAAGUCACUCAGCAACUUCUCAGGAAGUAUCUGGGAACCAUCAGUGAAUUUGCUGCUGGGAAGUAUAAAAGUUCUUCUUGGAUCCAUAAAAUAUGAAGAUGACAUCAUCUUACUAAAUGCUCAUGUUUAUUUGAUGGUCUUUCAUGAUCUGAAGCCUUUUAUUUCCUUCAUUAAGCAGAAGAAAAUGCAAAGUGAAACAAGAACCAGGGUCAGAAAAAGGCAUUAUUUAGACUUAAAUCCUUACAAGAGGAUCCCACAUUGACUGAAAGAAUUUUUACUGAUCUGCCAAUUCUCUCUGCCUAGAAAUGAGAAAGUGAUCUGGCAAGCUGGCAAGGGAAUGAAAACCAACAGUCCUUCCACAAAACACUUCAGACAUGUGUACCAAUGAAAGAAAUGCAGGAAUAUGAAUGGAAGCACCUAAAUAUAGGAAAUGCUAAGUGUCUUUGCCUGGGCCAGUUAGCAUAGCUGAGAAGGGAUUGGGUAAUUGAUGUAGGCUGAAUAUGUGGCAGAACAAGCCAGGAGGGGAAGAAACAUCCUGUUACCUUGUGCCAGGAGAGCACACCCUGAGAGAAGACUUCCAAUGGUCAGCCAUGCUGCCAGGAGAACCAGCUGUGCAUAG
rnacentral:lncRNA from 1 species